UACGUAGGGUGCAAGCGUUAAUCGGAAUUACUGGGCGUAAAGCGUGCGCAGGCGGCUAUGCAAGACAGAUGUGAGAUCCCCGGGCUCAACCUGGGAACUGCAUUUGUGACUGCAUAGCUAGAGUACGGUAGAGGGGGAUGGAAUUCCGCGUGUAGCAGUGAAAUGCGUAGAUAUGCGGAGGAACACCGAUGGCGAAGGCAAUCCCCUGGACCUGUACUGACGCUCAUGCACGAAAGCGUGGGGAGCAAACAGG
rnacentral:rRNA from 1 species